rnacentral:rRNA from 1 species
AACGAACGCUGGCGGCAUGCCUAACACAUGCAAGUCGAACGAGACCUUCGGGUCUAGUGGCGCACGGGUGCGUAACGCGUGGGAACCUGCCCUUAGGUUCGGAAUAACUCCCCGAAAGGGGUGCUAAUACCGGAUAAUUUCUUCGGACCAAAGAUUUAUCGCCUUUGGAUGGGCCCGCGUUGGAUUAGCUAGUUGGUAGGGUAAAAGCCUACCAAGGCGACGAUCCAUAGCUGGUCUGAGAGGAUGAUCAGCCACACUGGGACUGAGACACGGCCCAGACUCCUACGGGAGGCAGCAGUGGGGAAUAUUGGACAAUGGGCGAAAGCCUGAUCCAGCAAUGCCGCGUGAGUGAUGAAGGACUUAGGGUUGUAAAGCUCUUUUACCCGGGAUGAUAAUGACAGUACCGGGAGAAUAAGCGCCGGCUAACUCCGUG